rnacentral:rRNA from 1 species
AGAGUUUGAUUCUGGCUCAGAACGAACGCUGGCGGCAGGCUUAACACAUGCAAGUUGAACGGGAUUUGAUGGUAGCUUGCUAUCAUUAAUGAGAGUAGCGCACUGGUGAGUAACACGUGGGAACAUACCUUUUGGUGGGGGACAACAGAUGGAAACGUCUGCUAAUACCGCAUAAGCCCUGAGGGAGAAAGAUUUAUUGCCGAAAGAUUGGCCCGCGGAAGAUUAGGUAGUAGGUGGGGUAACGGCCUACCUAGCCGACGAUCUAUAGCUGGUCUGAGAGGACGAUCAGCCACAUUGGAACUGAGACACGGUCCAGACUCCUACGGGAGGCAGCAGUGAGGAAUAUUGGGCAAUGGAGGGAACUCUGACCCAGCCAAUGCCGCGUGAGUGAAGAAGGUUUUCGGAUUGUAAAGCUCUUUCAGAUGAGAAGAUAAUGACGGUAUCAUCAGAAGAAGCACCGGCUAACUUCGUGCCAGCCGCCGC